UACGAAGGGGGCUAGCGUUGCUCGGAAUCACUGGGCGUAAAGGGUGCGUAGGCGGGUCUUUAAGUCAGGGGUGAAAUCCUGGAGCUCAACUCCAGAACUGCCUUUGAUACUGAAGAUCUUGAGUUCGGGAGAGGUGAGUGGAAUUCCGAGUGUAGAGGUGAAAUUCGUAGAUAUUCGGAGGAACACCAGAAGCGAAGGCGGCUCACUGGCCCGAGACUGACGCUGAGGCGCGAAAGCGUGGGGAGCAAACAGG
rnacentral:rRNA from 1 species